rnacentral:piRNA from 1 species
UAGACUGAGUUGGCUGGAGAUCUACCUGC